GGAGGGUGUGACUAGUGACAGAGUGAGGGAGGGAAGGGGUGACUAGUGAGAGUGAGGGAGGUGGUGAUUAGUGACAGAGGGAGGAAUGGGGUGACUAUCACUGUGUCACCCCUUUCCUCACUCUGUCACUAGUCACCCUCUCCCUCCCUCACUCGGUCACUAUUCACCCCCUCUCUCACUCUGUCACCAGUCAUUCCCUCACUCUGUCACCAGUCAUCUCUUCCUUCCCUCACUCUGCCACUAUUCAUCCCUUCCCUCAC